ACUGGGCCUAAACUUCUUUAUAAGGACAGAGAAACCACUGAAUAUUCAUGUGAUCCUGGAUAUAAACCAUCUUCACUUCCUGGACUUACAUGCACUAAAAAUGACUGGAGCCCCAUGCCUUUAUGUGAAGAAAUUGUUUGCUACCAAGAAACUGUGAAAAAUGGUAAUGUCAGAUAUACCAAGGAAACAUACAGAGAUGGAGAGACUGUUGAACUCACAUGCAAUGAAGGAUACCAAAUUGAGCACAAUCCAGAAGAGCCCAGGAAAUGCACAUCACGUGGAUGGAGCCCACCACUGAAAUGUAUUAG